AAAAUUUGAAAUUAAAAAAAAUAAUCUGAAGAGUCGUUUGGGAGUUGAAAGAACUAGAACUCACAUCAGUAGUACAUUCAGCUCAGCUGUUAGCUAAAAAUACAGACAAGUGAUUCGGGACUUAUUUUGUUCUCUCACAAGAACUACGAAUACAAAGUUGCAAUGACUUGUGGGGGUUGUUCUGGAGCAAUUGAGAAAAUUCUAACAAGGAAUAAAGAUAAGGGAAUUGAAGACUUCAAAGUUGAUCUUGAAGGGCAGAGGGUAUUUGUGACGU
rnacentral:lncRNA from 1 species